rnacentral:rRNA from 1 species
GACGAACGCUGGCGGCGUGCCUAAUACAUGCAAGUUGAGCGCUGAAGGUUGGUACUUGUACCAACUGGAUGAGCAGCGAACGGGUGAGUAACGCGUGGGGAAUCUGCCUUUGAGCGGGGGACAACAUUUGGAAACGAAUGCUAAUACCGCAUAAAAACUUUAAACACAAGUUUUAAGUUUGAAAGAUGCAAUUGCAUCACUCAAAGAUGAUCCCGCGUUGUAUUAGCUAGUUGGUGAGGUAAAGGCUCACCAAGGCGAUGAUACAUCGCCGACCUGAGAGGGUGAUCGGCCACAUUGGGACUGAGACACGGCCCAAACUCCUACGGGAGGCAGCAGUAGGGAAUCUUCGGCGAUGGACGAAAGUCUGACCGAGCAACGCCGCGUGAGUGAAGAAGGUUUUCGGAUCGUAAAACUCUGUUGGUAGAGAAGAACGUUGGUGAGAGUGGAAAGCUCAUCAAGUGACGGUAACUACCCAGAAAGGGACGGCUAACUACGUG